CUGGAUUCUAAGUUCAAAAAUAAACAUUUUUCGAGUCAGCGACUACGAUAUUUCCAAAACAAACUAUUUUCUUCCAAGAUUAAUUAAAAAAAAAAAAAUACAAGCCACACGAGUAAAAAAACAAAGCGUGCCUGUCUAAAGCUCUCUCACUGUACACAGUUCUUGUUAGCGGAAACUCACGGCAUGGAAUACAAAAUCCAUCCACCCAGAUUAAAAAAAAAAAAAAAUAGAAUUAACAUAAAACGACAACGUAAAAAAGAGCAAGGCAGAAGAAUCAGCCAAGUAAAUCCCGGUCUUGACACAGCUCCUUCCUGAGCCGUUGAGAGAAAAGCCUGCAAGCAUCCAUGCUCAAAUCAAUGGCCGCAGCUAACGCUACAAAAGCAGCUGCAUCCUCCGUGCAAUUCACAUGCGGUACACUUACUUGGACGCUGGGCUUACUGCACUUGCCUUCUCCUUCCACUCUAGCUGACAUUACAAACCCUCUGUACGUGCAGUAUGGCCAUAGCCCGUACCCAAAAUCCCCACUACUCCUCGGACUACACAACGGCGAAUUUGAAUUUCCCGGAGUUGAGCGCCCGUUGUAGUUGGUGCCCAGAUCUAUAAGAAAAUUUCCGCCUUUAUGCGAGCUGAGAGUAGACUCAGCCAGUACAAUGCCGGCCGCGCUCAUGCAACCGCUGGUAUCCGGGAUAAGCUCAAAGCGAUAGCCAAGUCCGUCGCUAGACCCGCGCUCGCGCCAAGCCUCGAGCCGGCCCCAUGGCUUCCAGGUGCCAUCGCCAGGACGAAGUAUGAGCCACGAGCCGGGGUUAGACCUGCUGACUCGGUCAGAGCCAGGAGAAGCCACGAAGGGCGUAACCAUUGAAGCGGCAGCUACAGGCGAGCCGGAGAGGUCGUGUACCGUUAUUGACCAUCCUUUUCGUUCCUUGCCUGGCCUCUCUCUUUCGCUCCCAAAUGAGGUGAGCCAGCUUCUAGAGCUGCUUGGCUCUGAUUGCAAUGACCUAGAUCUUUGAUUCCGGUCGCCGGUGUUUCUGAAACUGAACUUGCAAGUAAAAACCGGUUGCCUAAUGUUCCCUUGGAUCUGGAACACUUGGGGACUGCACUCUGGCUCGCCAUCGAACUGAAACACAAAUCUCGGAUCGGGCUCUGCCUUCACAUUCAAAUGAAACUGAGCAGAGGAUCCUUUAUUAGCUUCUUUCCCAACAGAAAUCCACCCAUUGUGGAACACACAAGCCCUAGACUCAGUUCCCGCGAGAUCCAACGGCACGGAAACUUUCCCCAACAGCCUUCCAGAGUUAACGCCACAUGUGGUGCCACGACGCCCAGUGUAGAUAGAGAUUUUAAGGCAGAGCUUCCCGGCAAAAAUAGAUUUUGCAACUAAGCGUUCGAGAUCAGACUUACUAAGAUGAAAGGUAGCGGCAAGCGUUUGAGCCUGUCCCUCGGGGAACUGAUUGUUCUCAGGGGGAAUGUAGGGGACGACUGCCGUUUGGAGCGUGAAGUUCUUGAGCUUAAUUUUACAGAAACACGGCGACGAAGAGGGGUGAACAACAGAGCGAGCAGGCUUAGAAGCAACGGGGAUUUUGAGCGCGAGAUUGCCAACGGUGAGGCGCACGAAAGGGCAGGGAUCCAUAAUUAACUCAACUCACAGGGUCUGCUCUCUGCCCUUUCUAUCCUGUUAGGUUUUUUGAAAAGCGAGAGACCCAACCCAAUCCAACCCAACCCAACCAAAACCCAAACUACGAGUGAGCGUUAUAGAGAGAGAGAGAGAGAGAGUAGAGUUUAAAGUUGGUUAAAAAGAUGAAGAAGAGAGAGGAGCAACAGAAACAGGCUGGAGAACAUGGGGAAGCGUGCAGGAAACAGUGGAGGAAGAGAAUGGGUGCAGAGGCGGUGCGCAAUGCGCAUCAGUAGUGUCAGCGUUAGGAAACAACACUUGUUCCGGCAGAAGUAGCACUAAUAGAGGCAUUACCUUGGUCGUUUUCUAAAUUUUGGUCUUGGGAUUCUGUAACCGAAUAUCAAAACAACUCUCUAUUUCUCUCAGCAUGAGAGACCUAUCAUGGAGUUUCUCUCUCUAGGGGAUAGUAC
rnacentral:misc_RNA from 1 species